UACGUAGGAUGCGAGCGUUGUCCGGAAUUAUUGGGCGUAAAGCGAACGUAGGCGGUUUCUUAAGAUUGGUCUUAAAGACCGGGGCUCAACCUCGGGAAUGGAUCGAUAACUGGGAGACUGGAGGACGUCAGAGGAAAGUGGAAUUCCGAGUGUAGCGGUGAAAUGCGUAGAUAUCAGGAGGAACACCGGUGGUGUAGACGGCUUUCUGGACCAUAACUGACGCUGAGACACGAAAGCGUGGGUAGCAAACAGG
rnacentral:rRNA from 1 species